UUUCCGUAGGUGAACCUGCGGAAGGAUCAUUAUUGAAUUCCAAAACGUAAAGGACUGUCGCUGUGCGCCUUCGCCGGCCGCACGCGCGUCCGAUACAACCCACACCUGUGCACCUUUGAACCCGGCCGCUUUGGACGGGUCCUCACACACACACUUAUAAAAAUGUUAGAAUGUAUUUUAUUUGAAAUUUAUGACAACUUUCAACAACGGAUCUCUUGGCUCUC
rnacentral:misc_RNA from 1 species